UACGGAGGGUGCGAGCGUUGUCCGGAAUCACUGGGCGUAAAGGGCGCGUAGGCGGCUUGGGAAGUCUGUGGUGAAAGCUCGUGGCUCAACUGCGAGUCGGCCAUAGAUACUCCUAAGCUCGAGUCGACUAGAGGCAGAUGGAAUUCCGGGUGUAGCGGUGGAAUGCGUAGAGAUCCGGAAGAACACCGGUGGCGAAGGCGGUCUGCUGGGGUCGAACUGACGCUGAGGAGCGAAAGCGUGGGGAGCGAACAGG
rnacentral:rRNA from 1 species